rnacentral:rRNA from 1 species
UAGAGACUCAGAGCUGCAUAUCAAUAAGCGGAGGAAAAGAAACUAACUAAGGAUUCCCCUUAGUAACGGCGAGUGAAGCGGGAAGAGCUCAAAUUUGAAAUCUUCAAGGGUUCUACCUUUACGAAUUGUAGUUUAAAGAAGUGUUUUCUGUUGGAGUUUUGGUAAAAGUUCUUUGGAAUAGGACAUCAUAGAGGGUGAGAAUCCCGUAUUUGGACCAUUUCUUUCCAGCUGUGUGAUACACUUUCAAAGAGUCGGAUUGUUUGGGAAUGCAGUCCAAAAUGGGUGGUAAAUUUCAUCUAAAGCUAAAGUAUUGGCGAGAGACCGAUAGCGAACAAGUACCGUGAGGGAAAGAUGAAAAGAACUUUGAAAAGAGAGUUAAACAGUACGUGAAAUUGUCAAAAGGGAAGCGUUUGACACCAGUGUUGUUUUCUCGAAAAUCAAUUAAAAAUGGCCGGAUUUUGUGUUGUAUUGACUUUAUCAGCUUUCUGCACUUUUUUCUUGUCUUUUUUAAUGCACUUUUCGUUUAACAAGUCAACAUCAAUUUCUUUUGUUGUAAAAGAGUCAUUGGAAGGUGGCUUUCAUUUCGGUGAAAGUGUUUAUAGCCUUUGACUUCUGCAAUCGGAGAGAUUGAGGUCUGCAGCGUAGAUCCUUCGGGGUUAGAUACAUUUGUGCUAAGUUAUAGUUUUUCAUAGACAACAUGUUGACUAUGAUUAAUCAUGUAGCUUACUCGCUUAUGCUAUUUUACCUACGCUUAGGAUGUUG